rnacentral:rRNA from 1 species
UACGGGGGGGGCAAGCGUUGUUCGGAAUUACUGGGCGUAAAGGGCUCGUAGGCGGCCAACUAAGUCAGACGUGAAAUCCCUCGGCUUAACCGGGGAACUGCGUCUGAUACUGGAUGGCUUGAGUUUGGGAGAGGGAUGCGGAAUUCCAGGUGUAGCGGUGAAAUGCGUAGAUAUCUGGAGGAACACCGGUGGCGAAGGCGGCAUCCUGGACCAACACUGACGCUGAGUGAGCGAAAGCUAGGGGAGCGAACGGG